rnacentral:rRNA from 1 species
GAUGAACGCUGGCGGCGUGCCUAAUACAUGCAAGUCGAACGGUAACAGGAAACAGCUUGCUGUUUCGCUGACGAGUGGCGGACGGGUGAGUAAUGUCUGGGAAACUGCCUGAUGGAGGGGGAUAACUACUGGAAACGGUAGCUAAUACCGCAUAACGUCGCAAGACCAAAGAGGGGGACCCUCGGGCCUCUUGCCAUCGGAUGUGCCCAGAUGGGAUUAGCUUGUUGGUGGGGUAACGGCUCACCAAGGCGACGAUCCCUAGCUGGUCUGAGAGGAUGACCAGCCACACUGGAACUGAGACACGGUCCAGACUCCUACGGGAGGCAGCAGUGGGGAAUAUUGCACAAUGGGCGCAAGCCUGAUGCAGCCAUGCCGCGUGUAUGAAGAAGGCCUUCGGGUUGUAAAGUACUUUCAGCGGGGAGGAAGGGAGUAAAGUUAAUACCUUUGCUCAUUGACGUUACCCGCAGAAGAAGCACCGGCUAACUCCGUG